AUGCGAUAAGUAGUGUGAAUUGCAGAUUUCAGUGAAUCAUCGAAUCUUUGAACGCACAUUGCGCCCUUUGGUAUUCCGAAGGGCAUGCCUGUCUGAGCGUCAAUAAAUCAAUCAAACUUUGGUUUGGAAUUGGAGGAAGCGUUGGCUACAUCGCUCUUCUGUAAGCUAUUGGCGAUAGUGUUCUAGCUUGUAAGACGUAGUAAGUAAUUUCUCGUCAAUGCAGCGGUUCUUGCUAUCUGUCAGUUUAAUGAUUUAUUUCUACAGCUUGACCUCAGAUCAGGUAGGGAUACCCCCUGAACUUAA
rnacentral:misc_RNA from 1 species